CGGCUGCGGCAGGGUUUCCCCUGUGUCACUUGCACCGUGCCCGCUUUUACCAACUUACGUAUCUUUUCCAUUCGGCCCG
rnacentral:rRNA from 1 species